CUUCAUCCAGCUGUUUGUAAUACGUUUCCUGAUUUGUUGAAGCGAAUUUAUUACUACAUUUUGAAAGCCUUUGCUUGUUUUUAAACAGCAAAGAUUGUACACAUAUAUGUUGUAUUCUCUAGUUUGAAUACGGUUUUAUAGCUGGAUCAUGGGGACCAAGCAAAGCCUUCCUGCGACGAAGAAAGAAGAGGGCCAGCAGCAGACGCUGGGGGGCUGUUAUGAGUAAAAGGCUUCAGGAAACACAAGAGCCCAUCAUCACACCUGUAACGACAUAUCCAGCGCAACUAGAAGACCCCCCUGUAAAGAAUGUGAAGAAAUGGGUUCCUUUACUGGGUGUCAGAGUGUUGCUGCUGGCAUUUGGCAGGAUAUUCCAAAUCUGGAGGAACAGCCUGAGCCGAGCUGCCCCAGUCAACUGUAAGUGCUGUUAUGGUGAAGUGAAAACUUAUAGGAGCAACAUCGGCUCAGCCGCAAAGUGGUAGGCCACACAAGCUCACAGAACGGGACCGCUGAUUUGUUGGAAAGGUGGCAUC